GACGAACGCUGGCGGCGUGCUUAACACAUGCAAGUCGAACGGAAAGGCCCUGCUUUUGUGGGGUGCUCGAGUGGCGAACGGGUGAGUAACACGUGAGUAACCUGCCCUUGACUUUGGGAUAACUUCAGGAAACUGGGGCUAAUACCGGAUAGGAGCUCCUGCUGCAUGGUGGGGGUUGGAAAGUUUCGGCGGUUGGGGAUGGACUCGCGGCUUAUCAGCUUGUUGGUGGGGUAGUGGCUUACCAAGGCUUUGACGGGUAGCCGGCCUGAGAGGGUGACCGGCCACAUUGGGACUGAGAUACGGCCCAGACUCCUACGGGAGGCAGCAGUGGGGAAUAUUGCACAAUGGGCGGAAGCCCGAUGCAGCAACGCCGCGUGCGGGAUGACGGCCUUCGGGGUGUAAACCGCUUUCGCCUGUGACGAAGCGUGAGUGACGGUAAUGGGUAAAGAAGCACCGGCUAACUACGUG
rnacentral:rRNA from 1 species